rnacentral:rRNA from 1 species
GCGCGAAAACUUUACAAUGCCGGCAACGGCGAUAAGGGGACCUCGAGUGCCAGGAUACAAUCCUGGCUGUCGUAAUGCCUAAAAAGCAUUAUAUAGCAAGGGCCGGGCAAGACCGGUGCCAGCCGCCGCGGUAACACCGGCGGCUCGAGUGGUAACCGCUAUUAUUGGGUCUAAAGGGUCUGUAGCCGGCCUGGUAAGUCUUUUGGGAAAUCCGGCAGCUCAACUGUCGGGCUAUCAGAGGAUACUGCUAGGCUCGAGACCGGGAGAGGUGAGAGGUACUUCAUGGGUAGGGGUGAAAUCUUGUAAUCCUUGAAGGACCACCAGUGGCGAAGGCGUCUCACCAGAACGGAUCUGACGGCAAGGGACGAAAGCUAGGGGCACGAACCGG